UAAUCUAGAGCUAAUACAUAGCAAAUCUCGCUUGUAAUAGAGCGGGAGCAUUUAUUAGACUCAACCAACUGACUUCGGUCAUUUGAUGAAUCCUAAUAACUGUGCAUAUCNGAACAUUCAUUUGUCGAUAGUCCGAUCGAAUUUCUGCCCUAUCAACUAGUUGGUGAGGUAGUGGCUCACCAAGGUUGUGACGGGUAACGGGGGAUCAGGGUUCGAUUCCGGAGAGGGAGCCUGAGAAACGGCUACCACAUCUAAGGAAGGCAGCAGGCGCGCAAAUUACCCAAUCCAGACUUUGGGAGGUAGUGACGAGAAAUACCGGAGUAGACCUUUAAUUGGUUCACUAUCGGAAUGAACGUAAUCUAAUACCUUCGAUGAGUAGCUACUGGAGGGCAAGUCUGGUGCCAGCAGCCGCGGUAAUUCCAGCUCCAGUAGUGUAUAUCAAAAUUGUUGCGGUUAAAACGCUCGUAGUUGGAUUACAAAAGCUCUUUGGUGGCCAAAUCAAGGUUUGGUCGCUGUGGGGUUUUUUUAUCGCGAGAGCCAUAUGUGGGAUUAAAUUCUUGUGUGUGGUCACUUGCGAGGUGUGCCUUGAAUAAAGCACAGUGCUCAAAGCAGGCGAAAGCUCGAAUGUUAUAGCAUGGAACGAUUAUGUUGACCUUGUUGACUGUUGGUUGUUGACAGUGGUCCCGAUUAAAAGGGACAUUUGAGGGCGUUAGUACUUGGUGGCGAGGGGUGAAAUCCUUAGACCCAUCAAAGACUAACUAAUGCGAAAGCAUUCGCCAAGAAUGUUUUCAUUAAUCAAGAACGAAAGUUGGAGGUUNCGAAGACGAUCAGAUACCGUCCUAGUUCCAUACAGUAAACUAUGCCAACAUGGGAUUAGCCCGGUUUAAUCCAGGUUGGGCCCUCAGUGAAAAUUAGUGUUUCGGUUCUGGGGAGAGUGCUCACGCAAGUGAUAAAUUUAAAGAAAUUGACGGAAAGGCACCACCAGGAGUGGAGCCUGCGGCUUAAUUUGAUUCAACACGGGGAAACUCACCAGGUCCAGACAUUGAUAGGAUUGACAGACUGAGAGAUCUUUCAUGAUUUGAUGAUUGGUGGUGCAUGGCCGUUCUUAGUUGGUGGAGUGAUCUGUCAGGUUUAUUCCNGGUAACGAGCGAGACCACGAUCUUUAAUUGAUUACNGGUUAAAUUGUCUUGACCGAUCUUAAAGAGACCACCGGAGUUAAGCCGGGGGAAGCGUGGCAAUAACAGGUCUGUGAUGCCCUUCGAUGUUCUGGGCUGCACNGUGUGCNUACAAUGAUAGUGACAACAAGUACCUGCCCUGAGAGGGGUGGGAAAUCUUAAAAAUCGCUAUCUUGCUUUGGACCUGAGCCCUUGUAAUAAUUGCUCACGAAAGARGAA
rnacentral:rRNA from 1 species